AGAGCGAACGCUGGCGGCAGGCCUAAUACAUGCAAGUCGAACGGAUCCUUCGGGAUUAGUGGCGGACGGGUGAGUAACACGUGGGAACGUGCCCUUUGGUUCGGAACAACUCAGGGAAACUUGAGCUAAUACCGAAUGUGCCCUUCGGGGGAAAGAUUUAUCGCCAUUGGAGCGGCCCGCGUCUGAUUAGCUAGUUGGUGGGGUAAAGGCCCACCAAGGCGACGAUCAGUAGCUGGUCUGAGAGGAUGAUCAGCCACACUGGGACUGAGACACGGCCCAGACUCCUACGGGGGGCAGCAGUGAGGAAUUUUCCGCAAUGGGCGCAAGCCUGACGGAGCAACGCCGCGUGCAGGACGACGGCCUUCGGGUUGUAAACUGCUUUUCUGGGGGACGAGCAAGGACGGUACCCCAGGAAUCAGCCCCGGCUAACUACGUGCCAGCAGCCGC
rnacentral:rRNA from 1 species